rnacentral:rRNA from 1 species
AUGAAGCUCCAUGUGUUGCUUCCACAAAAGAAGUCCUGCUACAGUGUCCCGAUCAGCGUCGGAAUAACAGAUCAGAGUGAACACCACAUGUCGCUGAAGGGCAACGCAACAGAAAACAAAAAAAAAAAUCGACCUACACACCAGCCUAGGACAACUAUGAUGCGGACAGACGCGAGCGUGGAGGAGCUCCUAGUCGAGGAGCUCGGGCUGCUCCUUGGCAGCUCGGACACAAGGCACUGUGGGGACGGGCGACUGUGGGUUGCGCGUGAGGAUGGUUGGGGGCUCUCUGGCUGUCUGAUCUGA